rnacentral:rRNA from 1 species
GACGAACGCUGGCGGCGUGCUUAACACAUGCAAGUCGAACGGAAAGGCGCUGCUCUUGUGGGGCGCUCGAGUGGCGAACGGGUGAGUAACACGCGUGUAACCCGCCCUUGUCUUUGGGAUAACUUCAGGAAACUGGGGCUCAUAUAGGAUAGGAGAUCCUGCUGCACGGGGGUGGUUGGUAAGUUUCGGCGGUGGGGGAUGGUCUCGCUGCUUAUCAGCUUGUUGGUCGGGUAGUGGCUGACCAAGGCUGUGACGGGUAGCCGGCCUGAGAGGGGGACCGGCGACAUUGGGACUGAGGUAGGGCCCAGUCUGCUACGGGAGGCAGCAGUGGAGAAUAUGGCACAGUGGGCGGAAGCCUGAUGCAGCAGCGCCGCGUGCGGGAUGACGGCCUUCGGGUUGUAAACCGAUUUCGCCUGUGACGAAGCGUGAGUGACGGUAAUGGGUAAGGAAGCACCGGCUAACUACGUG